rnacentral:tRNA from 1 species
AGCAGCGUGGCUCAGUGGAAAGAGCAUGGGCUUGGGAGUCAGAGGUCAUGGGUUUGAAUCCCAGCUCUGCCG